UCUGAACUGAAUAUGCCUGUGCAGGAUC
rnacentral:piRNA from 1 species